GGGGGGAAAACCCCCGUCUAAUACCGCGUAUAUGAACCGGAGGCAUCUCCGGGGUCAGGAAAGACUUCGGUCGGACAAGGAUGGGCAUGCGGCGCAUUAGGCCAGUUGGCGGGGUAACGCCACCAAAGCGACGAUGCGUAGGGGUUCUGAGAGGAAGGUCCCCCACAUUGGUACUGAGACACGGACCAAACUCCUACGGGAGGCAGCAGUGAGGAAUAUUGGUCAAUGGGCGAGAGCCUGAACCAGCCAAGCCGCGUGAGGGAAGACGGUGCAGAGCAUUGUAAACCUCUUUUGUCAGGGAACAAAAGAUGCUACGCGUAGCAUAUCGAGUGUACCUGAAGAAAAAGCAUCGGCUAACUCCGUG
rnacentral:rRNA from 1 species